ACAUUGAAAGCCGUGUCGUGGGGUUGAGCCCUAAAUACUAGAUUUUCUAUAGUGUCUAGUUUCUGAGCAAUUAGAGACGUAAAAGCUAGCUUUGAUAAUAUUAAACUAUUCAACAUAAUAUUAAUGCAGUUAUUAUUGUGUUAAAAAAUCCUUUUGUCCCUACUCAUAACCCUUUAACAAUUUAUGCACUUUUGCGCACUUUAUUAACAUAAAAUUAAAAAGCAAAAUAUACCAUAACAUACCUACUUAUAAAUGUCAAAAACAUUAUAUCAAAUAAAUACGCAAAAAACACGUUCAACGAUAUAAUUAUUUAUUAUUAUAUUUAGUGAUGGAGCAAGAUAAUCAAGUCGCAGGCGCAGUAACAUAGUUUACUAGUUACCCCGCCAGGUGGCGCUGUAUUUGGACUACCAUUCAUGCAUAUAAAGAUCAUGCCAGCGUUUUAAUUCAGCAAAUUUACGGAAGAUGGAGCUUAUGAUAUUCUACGCAGCUACGUUAUAGUAUGUUAUAAUAAUAUGAAAAUCAUGAAGUAGCGCCACGACGAUACACAUUGUUUGGAUGCUCUCUAAAAACUUUAUCAGAAUGUUAUUCUUAUUAGAGUAGGCGCACACCGUUGAUUUUUCGUCGGCCGAUAGUUUAGUCGGGCAGUUGAUCAGUAUGGGCAUGUAUGGGAGUGCGCACACUACGCCGAUUCGAUUUGGCCGAUUCUUCAUACAAAUUAAAAUCGGGCACAACUAUCGGCCAACUAAAAAUCAACGGUGUGCGCCUACUCUUAGUCUCUGUCAAACAAAAAUAAUUGAUUCUACUGCUCAAUGCAUCAACUUAUUUAUGGGACUAAAUACUGAAGUUGAAAUAAUUGAAAGAAAUAUACACAGGGUGGAAUUUUGUAAUGCCACCUGGGGGGAAGAGUACCUACUCUUAAUACUGUAGAUAGAAAAUUUUACUCAAAGCAAACAUUCCUUUAUUUUUUAAAAGAAAUAGAACGGCAUUCAAAGAUUUCAAAAAAUUUACUAUUGUAUUUUAAAUCGUAUACCUGUAUGGAAGUUACUCAUUACUACUCGUAUCAACGUGAAUAUGAAAUCAUUGAUUAUUAAUAUUCUGAUUAAUGUAGAAAGUAAGCGUCUAUUGGUAAAUAAUGAUAGCUAAAACAACGAGUAUGAUAUAAAAUCAUAAAUGUAGGUACUAAUAAAACGAUAUCAUUAAGCCUUACAAACUAUUCAAACUAAAAAAGAAGGGUAUAAAGAAUAAUAACCACAAUUUGAGAUGCCAGAAUUUAAUAAAAUAAAAAAACAAAAUAAAGAUGUAUCCAAUAAAAAAAUAAAUGUGAAAAA